AGGUCCUUUUCUUUGCUUCUUUUUCCUUCUUCAUGACUUGUUUCCAUCGUAAAACAAAUAUAUAGAUGUUCAAUUGGAUGCAUAUUUGAACUCUAGGCACGUGAAGCAAGGAAGAGAAUGGCCGUGGCUGAGAAAUCAGAACUUACAGAGUCAUAACUUCACAUCUAAGAUAAUGGGGACACAUCAAAAUCUGAAGAAAACACAUCAAAGUAAGAAUUUACAACAAGGAGCUAGCAGAGACUAAUUUGCCAAUCUGAAGUCUAAAUUCAAGAACCAAAUAAACAUGAGGUAGUGUUUUGAGUGAUCGGAAAAC
rnacentral:lncRNA from 1 species